UAAGAUUUCCCGAGCCGGGAUGUGGCGGCUGACGGCGACGUUAGGAAGUCCGGAGACGCCGGCGGGGGCCCAGGAAGAGUUAUCUUUUCUGCUUAACGGCCUGCCAACCCUGGAAACGGUUCAGCCGGAGGUAGGGUCCAGUGGCCGGAAGAGCACCGCACGUCGCGCGGUGUCCGGUGCGCCCCCGGCGGCCCAUGAAAA
rnacentral:ncRNA from 1 species